CGUGUCGUGAGAUGUUGGGUUAAGUCCUGUAACGAGCGCAACCCUUGUCCUUAGUUACCAGCACGUAAUGGUGGGCACUCUAAGGAGACUGCCGGUGACAAACCGGAGGAAGGUGGGGAUGACGUCAAGUCAUCAUGGCCCUUACGGCCUGGGCUACACACGUGCUACAAUGGUCGGUACAGAGGGUUGCCAAGCCGCGAGGUGGAGCUAAUCUCACAAAACCGAUCGUAGUCCGGAUCGCAGUCUGCAACUCGACUGCGUGAAGUCGGAAUCGCUAGUAAUCGCGAAUCAGAAUGUCGCGGUGAAUACGUUCCCGGGCCUUGUACACACCGCCCGUCACACCAUGGGAGUGGGUUGCACCAGAAGUAGCUAGUCUAACCUUCGGGAGGACGGUUACCACGGUGUGAUUCAUGACUGGGGU
rnacentral:rRNA from 1 species